UGCUGAAAGCAUCUAAGCAUGAAGCCCCCCUCGAGAUGAGAUUUCCCAACUUCGGUUAUAAGAUCCCUCAAAGAUGAUGAGGUGAAUAGGUUCGAGGUGGAAGCGUAGCGAUACGUGGAGCUGACGAAUACUAAUCGAUCGAAGACUUAAUCAA
rnacentral:rRNA from 1 species